rnacentral:rRNA from 1 species
CGGGGACUGAGUAGAGCGGCGCACGGGUGAGUAACGCGUGGGUAUCUGCCGGGAGAUCGGGAUAACAGUGGGAGAGCGCUGCUAAUACCGGAUACGUCUGACAAGAGAAAGGUGGCCUCUGAUUCAAGCUGCCGCUCUCGGAUGAGCCCGCGUCCCAUUAGCUUGUUGGUGGGGUAACGGCCUACCAAUGCUCCGAUGGGUAGCUGGUCUGAGAGGAUGAUCAGCCACACUGGGACUGGAACACGGCCCAUACUCGGGACUGGAGGGGGGCANUGGGGAAUAUUGCGCAAUGGGCGAGAGCCUGACGCAGCUACUCCGCGUGAGGCAUGAAUGCCUUCGGGUCGUAAACCUCUGUCAGGAUGGAAUAACCGUCUGGGACUUAACAGGUUCCGGGCCUGACGGUACCUCCAGAGGAAGCACCGGCUGGCUCCGUGCCAGCAGCCGCGGUAAUACGGAGGGUGCGAGCGUUGAUCGGAAUCGCUGGGCGUAAAGCGCGCGUAGGCGGCUUGCCGGGUCGGAUGUGAAGCCCUCGGCUCAAACGGGGAACUGCAUUCGAAGCUGGCAGGCUGGAGU